ACCCCAGAUGGCUCAAUUGCUUAGAGUGUGGGGUUGAUAACGCCGAGGCUGCAAGUUCAAUUCCUGUAUGGGACG